GUGGGAGGCCGCAUUGGAGGGGGGCGCUCCUGGCGGGAUAGAAAAGGCCGAUCUGCAAGGCCUGCUCUGGGCACAAUCCACCGGCCGGAUCCAGAGGAAGGAUGGUUGAUCUCAGGAGGAGCGGGGUGAAGCUCAGGGGUCAGUUUGAGAUGGGUUUGGGCGGAUAGAAGGCAGAGGACAGCGUCAGGGGCGAGGGGUAAGGCCGCUCUGUCUGUUUUUGUAAUUAUGAUCAUAGUUUUCAUUUAAAUCUCUCGUAUGCAAACUGACCAAAGAAAUGUCCUAGAUUCAGCUGCAGACUCUCAGUUCUUGUGUUUUCCUUCAGUUUGAUUCUCAGUGAGUGAAAUCAGGCCAGUUGUUAGGCUUUAUGAAAGACGCAGUGCGGCCGAGCCCCUGACACCUCCGUCAGCCGAGGUGCGAUACAGGAAAGAAUCAGGAAAUUUGGUGUCCUGACAUGUGUCCCUCAGAGGAGCCGGUCAGAGUAGUGUUUCAGACGGCCCUUUUGGUUCGGCGCUGGUUGACAUGUUAGGGAAGUUAAACGGUACACGUGAAGGAGAAACCGCGGCCUCCACCUCAACCUCAGCUGCUAAAUCCACAAGAGGAGGCUCGACGAGGUUCAGUGAAGGUAAGACUGAAGAGGACUUGACAGCUGGCAGAUGGCGUCCACCUUCUAUUUCUUCUCUUUCCUUUCCGUCUUUCUUCUCCUUCCCUCCUGACUCUCUCCCCUCUCUCUCUGCAUGCCUUCUCCUCCUCCUGCCCUCUGUCUCGCUCUGCCUCUUGCAGCUGAAGCAACACGCCUUGCUGUGGCUGGUCAAACGGAACCAAGUCAGGUGUUUCUGUGAGGUUUGGUCCCCUUCAACCAGCUACUGCGUCGUGAAUUCAGUCAGCAGACACCAGCGUGGAGUCAAAGACACGGUGGCGUUGUGGCGUGAAGCUGCUCGCUCUGGAGGGGGAUAGCGUAGAGGCACAGAUAGGUUUCCCUCUGUAGUGUAUGUAUAUAUAUACAGAUUGUUAGUUUUCUGUCUUGGUUUUGUCCAGUUUGGCAACGUGUGUUUAAAAAGUUAAUAAAAGAUUCCUGACAACGUGCUGUGCUGAAUAUA